CCACCCCUGCGCCUGCGCAUUCUGAGCAUGGACUACAACUCCCAGACUGCAUCGUGCUGCCGCCCUCGCCCCUCUACUUCCUGCUGGGGCGUUUCGUGAGUGACAGCGUCUCUGCGAGUCCAAGAAAAGUUAAAGGUUGUCCAUAUCUGUAUCCUUUCUGAUAACUAAAGCACCUAGCAGGGAUGGAAGCCUCACCUCCUGAGUUAACCUUGUUUCAAAGCCUCAGGCCUUUCACUGCAUAAUCCCAGGAGGUGUCAUCCACAUCAAACUGUGAGGAAAGGAACAGAGCUGUGGACACCACUGGGGUGUGACAGGCAGCUGGGCAAGGAUCCAUCCAGGAAGGUGAGGCCAGGUCUCAAUGGGUGGGGAUGGGUGACAAAGGUUACUGGCUUGCACGGGCAGCUAGCUGUGCAGUGGCGGUGGAAGAAAGAGCCUCUGGCCACAGCCCAGCUCCAGAGGGCCCAGUCAGCCAUCUAGCUGUAUAUACCACUUGCUCGGGCCUCUCCUGGUCCGUGGCCUACUUUCUGCUUCCUAAUCUUACCUUUCCAGCCUAAUGCUCAUUUCAGCUAGAGUUCUUUCCCUGGGCCCAUUCUGAGCAAUUCCUGUGGCUCUGGCCUUGCAGGAAUUAUCUGAGUCAGACCCCAGACUCACCCCACACCUCAGCCAGGGGAGGACCCUCCCCGCUACCUUGGCACCUGCGGAAGCAGAUGGUUCUUUCUGUUCUCGUCGUGCUCUCAUUGUGAAUCAUCUCCAGGCAUUGCAGGUAGAAUUUGUCAGCUUCUAAUGUCAGCUAAGCUUUCAAACUGGCAUCUUCGCAGCCUAGUGAAGAUGAUAUGAUUUUAAUGAAGUGUGCAUCUCAACAGCGACUGACCCGGCAGGUUAGCACAGUAAUAACAGCUUUUGUUUGAGCAAGGCACGGUGCAAGUUGCUUUACAUGCUGCAUCUCUACUCCUCACAAGAGAGCACGUUGUCCCAACUUUAUGGAGAAAAUGGGCUCCCAGAGAGCAGCUUCUCAUGGCUAGAGCACGUCAGAGCAUCAGCUUGGGCCCCUGGCUCCCGACUCCAGGGCCCGGGCGCUCACACGAGCCUUCACAGACAUACUGGUUUAUGUUAAAACAGCCCUUAGCACAGCAUUGUCCUCACUGUCUGUGGAAUUACUGCAUUUCCCUCUAAAUCCCAAUUCCGAGUGAGUGCCUCUCCUCCCCCGGCCAUAGCCUCUGUCAGAAUGCUCCCCUCGGAAUUCAGUACACUCAGUUCCAUGAAAACCAUUCGUACCCCGAGCCUGGUUCGCUGAGUUGCUUUGGGAAAUAUACUGUUUCCAAAUUAAAACUGCCACAUAAAUGUGAGGGGAGGUAUUGGUGCAUUUCUCUCCCUGGCUGGCCGCGAUCUGUUACGUCUGCACCUUUUCUUUUUCAGAAUCUCCCUUUCUCAUCGCUGCGUCCAGCAACGCCCGCCCUCCAUCUCACAGAAUGUAGUUGCAUUUUAAGCCAACACCCCUUAAAAUCUUACACAUGUCUUUUCUUUUUAAGAACAAAAUAAUACACUUAAGAACAUACCAAUUUAACCAAAUAGGCUUAAUUGUGGGGCUGUCACAGCGGUGUGUAUUUGGUAGAAUAUUGUGUUCUCGUUUCACCGUAUUCAGAGAGGAUGAGUGAGAGACUUUAUGUUCCUUUAAGUCAUAAUUUACAAGGCAGUUUUACAAAUGUUUUCUCACUGGCCCCUUAAGAAUCUCUCAGAGGCUUAGACAAGUUGGUAUUUCACAGAAGAGGGAGAGUGACUGUCCGUGAUCCUGCAGCUGAUGUGGAGAGAGAAGGCCUUCUGGUCUAAGACCUGUGCACUUUGACUCCACCUCACACUAAAUUCAGGUCCUUUUUUCUCUUUUUUUAUGAACAUAUAUCCCCAUAUCUCCUCCCUCUUGCGUCUCCCUCCCUCCCUAUCCCACCCCUCUAGGUGGUCACAAAGCACCAAGCUGAUCUCCCUGUGCUAUGCGGCUGUGAUGCAAGAACACCUCACCCUCCUUCCCUUGUUCACACAGUACGCCAAGAGUUCUGGGCAGUGCCCACCGCUUCGCUGGCUAUCGUCUGACAGGGCCGGGGAGGGUCUCUGAAGGCUCCUCUGUUCCCUGGAGCCUGGGAGGUGGAGCUCACCAUCCCUUCCUGCAGCUCCGUAGGCUCUACUUUGCAGGUUAGGAGCAUCCAUUCACACCGACUGCAGGAGGGAUCAGCAGCUCAGUGCGCUUCGGAGCCUGGCCUCCAGAAAGCUUCUCCUUUCCUCGCUGCUGCCAGAAAGGAAAGAAGGAACCUUCAAUCCAACCUCUCUAGCCAGGGAUCCUCUUGUAGGUACAGCUCAAAUCCCACUACCUGCAGGAAGCCUGAGCCGUUCUUUGGUAUCCUUACUACGCUUCGUUGUUUACCACGUGAAAUCAUUUAUUUUUGUGCUUGACUGAUGAAGGUGUCAUGCUGAUGUAAUGGGCACCUAUCACUCGGUGAAUAAUCCUCAGAAUAGGUACAGAGAAAACUGGACUAAGGUCCCUACUUGUCCUGAGGCCACUGAACUGAUAUCAUGGACAUACCAGUAAUGUUGAACAGAAACGCACACAGCACCUUCUCAAAGCGUAUUCAGUGGGCCAGACUCCAGCAGCUGUUUUCUUCCCUCCGGUGAAUGCAUCCAGCCUGCCUGGAGGGGAAGCCGUGUUGGUUCUGUAAGAUGCUGUAGGAGAAUCCAUCAGGGUGAAGCAGAGAACCCUUAACAAGAGCAGGGCUCAGGCUGGCAUGAGAGCAACAGCCUUCAUUCCCCCAGCUUUACACUUCAGGAAACUCCUCCUUACCUUUCAGGUAGCAGAUAUACACAGAAAGGGCCACGACGGGCCUUUCCCAUAGGGAAAGCAGGAGGCCCUUAUAGGGAAGUGAAAUGCCAGCCUGCUUAAAAGUGUCUCCAUCGUGGGUCUAUUAGGUGGCUCUGGGUUAAAGCACUCUUACCAGAAGGGCCCUGAAGUGACAUAAACAUAGUGGACACUCAAGAAGAGUCUAUUGGGCUUCCCUGGUGGCGCAGUGGUUGGGAGUCCGCCUGCCGACGCAGGGGACGCAGGUUUGUGCCCCGGUCCGGGAAGAUCCCACAUGCCGCAGAGUGGUUGGGCCCGUGAGCCAUGGCCGCUGAGCCUGCGCGUCCAGAGCCUGUGCUCCGCAGCGGGAGAGGCCACAACAGUGAGAGGCCUGCGUACCGCAAAAAAAAAAAAAAAAAAGAAAAGUCUAUUGAUAAUUAUCAAGGGCAGUUUCUCUCUCUUUUUCUCUCCUUCUCUCUCUCUGACACACAUAUGAUACCAAGCAAAACAGAAAUCAGAAAUCAAAGUGACUUUAAUCUUUCUCUUUAAUCUGCUCUGUAUUUCCAAAUUUUCAUUUUCUUUUAAAAUUAGCAUCUUUUUCCUCAGUACAAAAAUAAAGAAAAAAAUUAGUAGCUCACCUGUCCUUAAGGUGACCAUUAUUAACAGCUUCAUAUCUACACCUUUAUCCUUUCGAAUUCAAACUUUUUUGGGGGUGUCCACUGUUGUCUUUGCAAAAAGGAGAUCAAAAUAGGAACCUUUCUUUUCAUCUUGAUCUUCAUUCUUUAUAAUACAUCCUGGUCCCCUGUCCAGAACAACAGAUAUUCUUAAUUUGUUCUUUUUUAUUGGUGCAUAACAUCCCACAGAAUGGAUCAACCCCAGUUUAUUCAAUCAUUCAGUUAUCAACAUUCAAGUUCUUUCUGAUUUUGUCACUACAGAGAAGUCUGUAUUGCUCUAAUAUUCUUCUAUAAUCAUGUAUUAUUUAUAUUAGAAAAUAUCAUUUAGACUAUAAAAAUAGAGAGAUAAUUACUAUAAAGUCAAGAAACAGAUGCUGAAUGAACAGAUAAAUGAAUGUAUUAAAAUGUUACCUGGGAGUGGGGCCACAUGCCAUUUCUACCUUGAAAUAAUCAUCUUUGCACUGUGGGCCCUGACUCCCAACGUGGACUGCAAAUGCCUCAAGAUCAGGAAGCAGGCCUCUUUCUUCCUCAUCGCCUCCAAACUGCUGAGCACGGUUCUGCGGAGGGUGGGCAGCCGCAGGCCCACACAACGCACUGAGCCCUCAUAGUGUCUUUUGAAAACAGCUGUCUAGAUUUCAGAAUGCAAGUUUCCCACGUGUACGAUGUUAUAAAAUGGUGUAUUCCCGGGCCAGCCCACAAACUCUUAUUUUAACCCAUAAUGAAGGAAAACUAUAUACUUUUACCAUCAUGGUUUCUUAUUAUUUCUGUGGGAAAAAUGUUCUGAAUUGAGUUUCUGCAUGCAGAGAAUCCUCCUCUACUCUGUGUGUGUGUGUGUGUGUGUGUGUGUGUGAGAGAGAGAGAGAGACAGAGACAGAGACAGAGACAUCCUACCCUUUACUGCCUUCAAAUGAGUUGUUUUCUCUCCCUUCUGCCAAUCCUGUUAUAUGUGGAAGUUGAGCAAGUAAAAUAGGAAAUAUGAUGACUAAAUGUGGAAGUGCCAGAAAGAAGAAAGGCAAAAAAAGAAAAAAUUUAACAUAAAAUUUUGAUAAUUUGCUUAGAGUCUUCAUUCAUGUUUGAGAUCUAAGAAUUUGAAUUUGAUUGCUAAGAAUAUAGUAAUAUUCUUGCAUACAAAUGAAAUGAAACUACAAGUAGAAGAGAUUCUUUAGUUGUUAUAGAUUUCUCCUAAGUCAAACUUUUUCAAAUGGCAUAUUUAAAACAUGAUGUGAAUCAAAGCAAAAGCUUAUUUAAAUAUUAAUAAUGAUUAUGGAAUGUAUCACUUAUUAAUAGCCAUUGAUCUGGACACACGUUAGUUUGUUUUUAUAUGUUCCUUUGGAGAGUCCUGUUUGGAGAGUCAUUAAAAAUGAAUAUUUUGAUAAAAUUAAAGACUGGGAGAAACUAUAUAGCAUUUGUAGGAAAAAAUUAUCUUCUACACAGAGAUUUAAAAAUUCUUAUAAGAAUGUAGUGUAAAAUAUAAGAUGUAUUAACCAGUGCUUUGUUUUUUGAAGUCCCAAGGAUAAAACUAGCUAAAACUUACAAGUCGGGCUUCCCUGGUGGUGCAGUGGUUAAGAAUCCGCUUGCCAAUGCAGGGGACACAGGUUUAAGCCCUGGUCCGGGAAGAUCCCACGUGCCAUGAGCAACUAAGCCUGUGCGCCACAACUACUGAGCCUGUGCUCUAGAACCCGCGAGCCACAACUACUGAAGCCCGCACACCUAGAGGCUGUGCUCCGCAACAAGAGAAGCCACCGCGAUGAGAAGCCCACGCACUGCAACGAAGACCCAACGCAGCCAAAAAUAAAAUAAUUU